AGUCCGCAUAGAAUACGUACUUAUUCUGCCUGUCAGCAGUUUGCAGAUAAAUUUUGGACCCGGUAACUCUUAUAUGCUGAUUUCGUAUGAAAACGAUGUCAUACCCAUCCCGAAAGAAAUUCAGAGAUCCUUCCAAGAUGAUCCACCGCAUAUACCGGCUGUCCAGGUUACGGAGAGCGCGAAAAAAACAAAGGGCAGUAUUAAGAGAUCCUUGAUCGGCAAUCCAAAGAUCAAAGCAUUACAAGAGGUGGAAAACGAUCAGUCAGCUGACCCAUCCUCCCCUUCGGAAGCGACUGCUCAACAGGAUAACAGCGUUUCAAACGGUGCAGAUUCAGUUUUCCAACAGAAGGAACAUGCGCGAUUCGGGAAAAAAGAAAUUUCCGGAAGGCUACAUGUUGUCCGCACUAAUGCUAACCCGGUUGAUCAAAGAAAAGAUAUAGCCGAUUACAAGGCAUUCAAUGCUUACUUCUACCGCGACCUACGAAACUUAAAGGGCGAUGUGGUGGAGCACAAUCCAAAAAAGGAGACCGGAACCUUGUUUCUACGACAAGAUCAUCCCAAGGGCGAGCUUUUAAUGCAGGAUAUCGUUGAAUUCACCGCACCGCUACAGGAGGGCGAAAACGGUGCGUCAGCCCGCAACGGUGCGCUGAUACCGGUACCCGAUAAACUGGAUGAUCCUAAUGCACUGCGAAAUGGAGAGGCUUCAUCCUGGGAUACACGCAGUGAUGCAAGGGGAAGAUUCUGCCAAAAAGAAGCGGCAAUACAGCCGUUUCAAUGGAUUACUCAUGGAAAUUUCUCCGUACAUGCUGCUAUCGAAAACCUCGAAGAGUUUUUUCAAAAGGAGUGGAAGCGCGAUGCAUGUUGGAGGUACAACAUCGAGUUACUGACCAAGAAGCACAGACCCGGGCCGACCACGACAUACAUCUUUGAGUCUUGCUGGAGCAUUCCUACUCGCAAAGCCCCAGUUCCGACAGCAACGGCAUCCAUAUAUUUCACCAUAGAUGUCUGUGACGUUCUGCGCCCGGAAGCCCCCGUCGUUGUCAAGUGCCAUUAUGAAAACAGCCCCAUGAUUCGUGACCCCCAGACGAUAAACUUUGGACAAGAUAUGCUUAUUGACAUUAUGAAACAUUUCGUAUCUCACUUUCACCGAUCGUUUCAUCAUCUCUCGACGUAAGCGUUGACGCCGCUGACCAACAGUUUCUUCGGCAUCUGUAAUAUAUAUCACGACCAUAUCAUUAUGAGCGCACUCAGUCUGUCUUUCCGGAUCAGUUUCCGCCGUGGAAUCCGCAGCGGGAUCCUUGUAUCCCUGGAUGAUAUGGUCAAGUUUCUGUUUGAAUUCCGAAGUGUACUCCAGCUGGUCCGAGUUGAACUGAUGAUGAUUUGACAUUUUCCCCACAAGUUCACCGUCAGCCUUUGCAGAAGUAUAAGCGUCAUCUUGGGCCAACAUAUUCUGCAAAACGCAUAGACCUGAUUGAUACUAUAUUCAUACUGGUGCAGUGGUGUCAGAAUCCUGACCAUCAGGCGUAUGUAGUAUGUACCUGUGUAGUGCGUACGUAGUAUGAAUGUAGUAUAUGUACCUGUGUACGCUGUUGCGCAACUGGGUAAAACCACUCAUAGCCACUAGCCAGACGCCAGUGAUCAUGAGCCACAAACGCACAAACCGCUUCAGGUGCAAAAUCAACCGCGGCGUUCAUUAUUUUUUAUGCAUGACAUCUGUGCGGAUCAGGAAUUUCUGGAGUCAUUAAGUUGUGUUCCACGAACUUUGGUUAUCGAUUCUAAAUAUGGAACUUCAGCUACCAGCUCUCGAUGCUAUUGAAUUAAGCUCAGGGUAUGCAUCUUCAGCCUCUUCGCUCUCCGUAAGCUCCAACGAAGCCAAUGCUGGUUCACCAAAUCUGCCAGAGCUUUUGCAGCUGUUCCAGGACGAAGAAAUGGCUGCAAAUGAUAUUCCAGUGGAGAAAAUUCUUAUACCUGCCGCUGACAACCACCAGCAACUGCACGCUGCUGUACAGCACCUGGCCAAACUGGUCGACCGCGUCGCGCGAAGCCAUAUCAGCGAUAAGCGUAAGACAUCGUUCCAUGUGAGCACGCUUGGGUUUGUUGCUGGAGCGCUCGUGGGAGCCAAAGUAGGAGAGAUCGUUCAGGGUUUUGUGUGUUCUCAACCUGGAAAGCCGUUUAUUGAAGCAAUGGGAGGAAUUUUUGGCGCUGUCCUUGUUUUCGGUAUCGUUCGAGGUCGAAAAAGCAACAAGAAGUGAGAUGAUAUCUGUUUAAGUAGCCGUUGAUUACACAGUCAGGUUGCUGUUUAGAUUUUGGAACUAUGACUACUGAAGUAUUAAACUAACGGGCGAGUCUUCUUUCUUCGUCUUUCUAUAUAAUAUCACUUUCUUUCAUGUAGGAACUGUUUUAUGCUUGAAUCAGAUGCUGUUGCUUGUAAUACUAUAAUGCAUUUUUCGACAGUUUUGUCUUUGAAUCUCGAUAAGGAGUGACUCCUUGUAUUUGCAGACAUUAAGCAGUAAACCUAAACGGCUAAACCCGCAUUUUCUGGAUUUCUCUUAUUGCAUCAGUGUUUUGGAAAUAAAAGCGAUGGACUGGAA